CACCUAACAGCUAGCCCACCCAUCCCCCCCACACAACCACCAUAUUUAACCGAAAAUAAACCACCUAUAUAAAACCAAACCAUUCUCACACUCUUAGUAAAGGCGAUAGAAAAGAGACACGGAGCAAUAGACAAAGUACCGCAAGGGAACGCUGAAAAAGAAAUGAAAAAACCCAGAAAAGUGUAAAAAAGCAGAGACUAAAACUCGUACCUUUUGCAUCAUGAUUUAGCAAGCACCUCUAAGCAAAGAGCCCUCUAGUUUAAAACCCCGAAACCAAGUGAGCUACUCCAAGACAACCUAAUAACUGGGUUAACCCGUCCCUGUGGCAAAAGGGUGGGAAGAGCUUCGAGUAGAGGCGAAAAACCUACCGAGCUUGGUGAUAGCUGGUUGCCUGAGAAAUGAAUAGAAGUUCAGCCUCUUAACUUCUUUUUCCCGCCUCUUUUCCCUUUUACAAAUUGGCCACAAGAAGUUAAGAGAGUUACCCAAAGGGGGGACAGCCCCUUUGACCCAAGAGACAACUUUCACGGGAGGAUAAAAAUACAACACCCAAGAUACAACACCACAGUGGGCCUAAAAGCAGCCAUCUGCCCAGACAGCGUUACAGCUCAAGUGUUAUCACAACCCCCGAUCCCAACAUCUAUACUUUAACCCCCAACUCUACCAGGCCCUUCCAUGCAAACAUGGAAGUGACAAUGCUAAUAUGAGUAAUAAGAAAGCAAGCUUUCUCCUAGCACCAGUGUAAAUCGGCACGGAACAACCACCGAACAUUAACGGCCCCAAACCCAGAGGGCAUUAAACCCCCAAACAGACAACUAGAAACCCAACUAACCAAACACCGUUGAACCAACACCGGAGUGCCCCAUAGGAAAGACCUAAAAAAAGAAAAGGAACUCGGCAACCCCACCAAGCCCCGCCUGUUUACCAAAAACAUCGCCUCUUGACUCCCGCCCAUAAGAGGUCCCGCCUGCCCCGUGACAAUAGUUUAACGGCCGCGGUAUUCUAACCGUGCAAAGGUAGCGCAAUCACUUGUCUUUUAAUUGAAGACCUGUAUGAAUGGCACAACGAGGGCUUAACUGUCUCCUCUUUUUAGUCAAUGAAAUUGAUCUCCCCGUGCAGAAGCGGGGCUACAAGCAUAAGACGAGAAGACCCCGUGGAGCUUAAGACAUAAAGCAACUUGUAACCCUCAGCCCAACAAAGGCCUUGAACUAAACAACCCCUGCCCAACAGUCUUCGGUUGGGGCGACCGAGGGGUAUGACACAACCCCCACGCGGAAUAAAACACCAGUUUUACAACCACGAGCCACAGCUCUAAGCAACAGAAUUUCUGACCAAACAGAUCCGGCACAGCCGAUCAACGGACCAAGUUACCCCGGGGAUAACAGCGCAAUCCCCUUUCAGAGCCCCUAUCGACAAGGGGGUUUACGACCUCGAUGUUGGAUCAGGACAUCCUAAUGGUGCAGCCGCUAUUAAGGGUUCGUUUGUUCAACGAUUAAAGUCCUACGUGAUCUGAGUUCAGACCGGAGCAAUCCAGGUCAGUUUCUAUCUAUGACACGCCUUUUCCCAGUACGAAAGGACCGAAAAAGGGGGGCCCAUGCUACAAGCACGCCCCACCCAAAUCUGAUGAAAACAACUUAAUCAGACACAAGGGCAUACUCCCUAGCCUGAGAAAAAGAAUUAUUCGAGGGGGCAGUACCCAAAACUGCAAGGCUCCAAAGCCUUACUAGAGGGCCUCACCCCCCCUCCCUCGCACACAAGCCAGACACAGCCCCCUGCCUUAAGGCAGGGGCUGGGUCUGGCACGCAUGCU
rnacentral:rRNA from 1 species